rnacentral:rRNA from 1 species
GUCCACGCUGUAAACGAUGAGAACUAGGUGUCGUGGGUGUUGACCCCCGCGGUGCCGCAGCUAACGCAUUAAGUUCUCCGCCUGGGAAGUACGGCCGCAAGGCUAAAACUCAAAGGAAUUGACGGGGGCCCGCACAAGCGGUGGAGCAUGUGGUUUAAUUCGACGCAACGCGCAGAACCUUACCCAGACUUGACAUCUAUCAAAGUUGGCCCAAAAGCCGACGUGCCCGCAAGGGAAUGGUAAGACAGGUGCUGCAUGGCUGUCGU